AGCGAACGCUGGCGGCAGGCCUAACACAUGCAAGUCGAACGAACCUUUCGGGGUUAGUGGCGGACGGGUGAGUAACACGUGGGAACGUGCCUUUAGGUUCGGAAUAACUCAGGGAAACUUGUGCUAAUACCGAAUGUGCCCUUCGGGGGAAAGAUUAAUCGCCUUUAGAGCGGCCCGCGUCUGAUUAGCUAGUUGGUUGAGGUAAUGGCUCACCAAGGCGACGAUCAGUAGCUGGUCUGAGAGGAUGAUCAGCCACAUUGGGACUGAGACACGGCCCAAACUCCUACGGGAAGCAGCAGUGGGGAAUCUUACGCAAUGGGCGAAAGCCUGACGCAGCCAUGCCGGGUGAAUGAUGAAGGUCUUAGGAUUGUAAAAUUCUUUCACCGGGGACGAUAAUGACGGUACCCGGAGAAGAAGCCCCGGCUAACUUCGUG
rnacentral:rRNA from 1 species